rnacentral:rRNA from 1 species
AGCAGUAGCCACGGGAAUACGGAGGGAGCUAGCGUUGUUCGGAAUUAUUGGGCGUAAAGCGCGCGCAGGCGGUUUUUUAAGUCUGGUGUCUAAGUGCGGGGCUCAACCCCGUGACGCACUGGAAACUGGGAGACUUGAGUGCAGAAGAGGAGAGCGGAAUUCCACGUGUAGCGGUGAAAUUCGUAGAUAUUGGGAAGAACACCGGUGGCGAAGGCGGCGACCUGGUCCUUUACUGACGCUGAGGCGCGAAAGCGUGGGGAGCAAACAGGAUUAGAUACCCGCGUAGUCCCUGUCUCUUAUACA